rnacentral:rRNA from 1 species
UACGUAGGGGGCUAGCGUUGUCCGGAAUCAUUGGGCGUAAAGAGCGUGUAGGCGGCCCGGUAAGUCCGCUGUGAAAGUCGGGGGCUCAACCCUCGAAUGCCGGUGGAUACUGUCGGGCUAGAGUGCGGAAGAGGCGAGUGGAAUUCCUGGUGUAGCGGUGAAAUGCGCAGAUAUCAGGAGGAACACCAAUUGCGAAGGCAGCUCGCUGGGACGUAACUGACGCUGAGACGCGAAAGCGU